AGCCCAACAGCUAGCUCAACAUCCAAAACACAACCACACAUUAUUAAACAGCCCCGCAUGACCGAUAAGCCCAACAAUUAAACCAUUCUUCCCCCUCAGUAUGGGAGACAGAAAAGGAAACGCCGAAGCGAUAGCUACAGUACCGCAAGGGAAUGCUGAAAGAGAAAUGAAAAAAAUCAGUAAAAGCACAGAAAAGCAGAGCUUUACCCUCGUACCUUUUGCAUCAUGACUUAGUAAGAAACCGACAGGCGAAAAGAAUUUUAGUCUGACCCCCCGAAACCAAGUGAGCUACUCCAAGACAGCCUAGUUAUAGGGCAAACCCGUCUCUGUGGCAAAAGAGUGGGGAGAGCUUUGAGUAGAGGUGACAGACCUACCGAACUUGGCUAUAGCUGGUUGCCCAGGAAAUGAAUAGGAGUUCAGCCUUUGUCCUCUCUUCCCGCGACACAAAUUAUGAUAAAGCAUUGAAGAGGCUAAAAGAGUUAGUCAGAGGGGGUCCAGCCCCUUUGAAAUAGGCACAACUUUCCCAGCAGGGUUAAGAUCACAGAACACCAGGGACCAUGUGUUAGUUGGCUUAAAAGCAGCCACCAACCCAGAAAGCGUUAAAGCUCACACACCGCCCCCUUCCCCUAUUAUUUGGGUCACACCAUCUUACCCCCCUAACAAAUACUGGGCCGCCCCACUUCAGUGGGAGAGACCAUGCUAACAUGAGUAACAAGAGACCCGACCUCUCUCCUUACACAAGUGUACAUCGGAACGAACCAAGCACCGAAAAUUAACGGACUCAAGAAGAGAGCACUAGAACAUUAUGAACAACCACAAGAAAAAUAUCUAGCCCCCCACCGUUGACCUUACACCAGAGUGUCUGCAAGGAAAGACUAAAAGAAAAAGAAGGAACUCGGCA
rnacentral:rRNA from 1 species